rnacentral:lncRNA from 1 species
GUCGGAAGGGGACGAUAAAUGGCUGACCCGUGUUUAGAGAGAGCCAUAUCUCUUGCACGUUAAAGACACCCUUGUAGAUUUUGAAAAAGAGCAGGCUAAUGCGGCUACAAGCAGCACUCGCACCCGCAAAGUGGAAAGGGAUUAAUAUAAGUUGCAAAACUUGUUUCCCAAUCCACUAUAAAUAAAUAUGUUUAAACUAAGAAAAUUAAACUUUGUUUGAUAUAAAAAAAAAUUGAAUCCUUGGGGAUUUUUGAUAUGCUGAAUCUAAACCUGUAUUUAGAUUUUUGAUUAUAGGCCCAGUUUUCAAGUUGGUCCAAAUUGCGGUCCAAAAUUAAACUUUGUUUGAUUUCAACAAAAAUUGUAUAUAUGGGGUUCUUUGAUAUAUGCUUAAUCUAACCAUGUAUUUAGAUUUUUGAUGUUUAAUUGGGCCCGGUUAUCAGAUUGGUCCACAUUGAGGUCUAAAGGGUACAAAAUUGAACUUUAUUUGAUUUCAUCAAAAAUUGAAUUCUUGGGGUUCUUUGAUAUGCUGAAUCUAACCAUGUAUUUAGAUUUUGGAUAUUGGACCAUAAUAGGUAAUGUCCAAUUUAAAAUUUAAAGUUUUUAAGUUUAAGUUCUUAGACCACAUUCAUUAUGUGUCAGAAACCUGUGUUGUGUCAACUAUUUAAUCACAAUCCAGAUUCAGAGCUGUAUCAAGCUUGAAUGUUGUGUCCAUACUUGCCCCAAUGUUCAGGGUUCGAACUCUGCGAUCGUAUAAAGCUGCGCCCUGCGGAGCAUCUGGUU